UGGGGAAUAUUGCACAAUGGGCGCAAGCCUGAUGCAGCCAUGCCGCGUGUGUGAAGAAGGCCUUCGGGUUGUAAAGCACUUUCAGCGAGGAGGAAGGUGGUGAGCUUAAUACGCUCAUCAAUUGACGUUACUCGCAGAAGAAGCACCGGCUAACUCCGUGCCAGCAGCCGCGGUAAUACGGAGGGUGCAAGCGUUAAUCGGAAUUACUGGGCGUAAAGCGCACGCAGGCGGUUUGUUAAGUCAGAUGUGAAAUCCCCGGGCUCAACCUGGGAACUGCAUUUGAAACUGGCAAGCUAGAGUCUCGUAGAGGGGGGUAGAAUUCCAGGUGUAGCGGUGAAAUGCGUAGAGAUCUGGAGGAAUACCGGUGGCGAAGGCGGCCCCCCUGGACGAAGACUGACGCUCAGGUGCGAAAGCGUGGGGCAGCAAACAGGAUUAGAUACCCUGGUAGUCCACGCUGUAAACGAUGUCGAUUUGGAGGUUGUGCCCUUGAGGCGUGGCUUCCGGAGCUAACGCGUUAAAUCGACCGCCUGGGGAGUACGGCCGCAAGGUUAAAACUCAAAGG
rnacentral:rRNA from 1 species